GUGUUUGCUGUGAGGAUACUCAGUGGUCUUGAUGAGAGUAGAGUGCCAAAGAAAGUUUAGGAACCUGUGUCCGUCAACCCGCUCCAGCCAACAGUACAGUUCCAACUGUCAUAAUACUCCCAUGGAAAUCUGGAUAUAAGUGCUUAAAGCCUACCAGCAACACUCUUCUUCAGAUCUUUGGAAGCCUGAGAGACAAGCCAUAUGAAGAGAAGGGCUCUCCCUUUACCCCUGGGGUCACAGUUACUGGAAAACCAAGCCUCUAGAAUACAUUAUACUUAAUCUUUGCCUUGGAACUCUCUGAAAAUAAACUCUCAUUUGACACAGAGAAGUGACAGACUUGCAUCUACUUUCUCUAUGAAGAUUCCUGCAGGGCCUGAAGCCUUACUUGUUCUGCCAAGGACCUGCUGGACUGGUGACUUUAGCUGCUGCUCAACCUAGGAGAGGAGAAUGCACUGAAAUUAAAAUUGGAGAGGAGAAAGGAUGCUUUCAGACUGAAAUAGUCCCAGCCUCCCCUCCUAAAUGUUUAGGCUACUUAAAAUUAUUUCUCUAGUUUCAUGAGCAGAUUUUUUUUAAGACACUGAACUUUGUUUUGAAGUGUAAAUGCAUACAAAAAAGUAUACACAGUACACAGUCACAUUGUUCAGUUCCAUAAAUUUCAUAGGAUGAACACACUCAACUAAUUGUCAUUCAGAUCAAGAAAAGAAUAUUACCAACAUCCCAAAAGCCCCAUUUGUACAUGCAUUCAGUUACCAUUCUUUAUCAUGUAAACAAUAUCUGGACAUCUAACAAUAUAGUUUGCUUGCUUUGGAA